UAAUACGUAGGGCGCAAGCGUUGUCCGGAUUCACUGGGUGUAAAGGGUGCGUAGGCGGGAAGGCAAGUCAGAGGUGAAAUCUCACGGCUCAACCGUGAAACUGCCUUUGAUACUGCUUUUCUUGAGUUAGGGAGAGGUCGAUGGAAUUCCAGGUGUAGCGGUGAAAUGCGUAGAUAUCUGGAAGAACACCGGUGGCGAAGGCGGUCGACUGGCCCUAAACUGACGCUGAGGCACGAAAGCGUGGGGAUCAAACAGGAUUAGAUACCCUGGUAGUCCACGCCCUAAACGAUGAAUACUUGGUGUUGGCCCGUAUGGGUCAGUGCCGAAGGUAACCUGAUAAGUAUUCCACCUGGGGAGUACGCUCGCAAGGGUG
rnacentral:rRNA from 1 species